GCAUGUGAGGCAGUCUAGCUGUGACAUCUGUUACCCCAUGAUCACCAGGGUGAUGUGGCUGAUCUGGCUGGCUAAGCGCGUGUCCCCUUCCUCCCUGACUGCUCCUGUGCAUCCUUCCUGAAUAGAGGAGGGCAGGCCUUCGGUUAAGAGUGUACAAUCAGCUGUGUUCCUCCGCUAAAACAACAUGCAUUCAUCCCUGUGUAUUUCCAGAGGUCAGAAAACUUACAUUAAUUUUCUGUCACUAGCAUAAAAAUAUAAGAAUGUCUGC
rnacentral:snRNA from 1 species